rnacentral:snoRNA from 1 species
UCGUCAGGUAGAAUUAUCCUUACCUGCCCCUCUAUGCAGAGGGCAGAUGAUUGGAGUCUGUACAAUUCAUGACUAAUGUCUCUGUGUGAUUAAGGUUCGAGACACCCUAAUCACUCCUAUCUGAU